GCGGGAGGUACGGUAAGGAGGGUUUCUGCAGGUCGAGGUCCCGCACUAACGUCCCCUCCUUCAGCGCCUCCUUCAGCUGCUCCCAAGGAAACUCUGCAGGAACUGGGAAAGAAGAAGAAGCUUGGAGGAUUGAGGGCACUUGCAGAUGACGAGGUAGUGAGCCUUGCCCGUGCGGGUGUUCUGCAGGGCGAGGAUUGACCAGUCCCGAGGCGCCCUGCAGUCCCUUACACUCCAUACAGGCUCGCAGGUCUUAAUCACCGUUGUGGCCUGUAAUAGCCUACCUUGGUAUGCGGGCCGCCCAUGGACAGUUCAAUGGAGCGCUGGUCGUUGGACAGGAGGGAGGCGCUGCACGGGUCACUGCCUUUGGGACACUGGCAUAGGGGCUGCGUAAAGUUGAGCCGCCGGUACACUGCGUUGCACACCUGAGGGAAGGAUGAACAGGUGUGACGGACAGAGCGCCACCUCCGCCCUCUGCAUGCGCAUACUGUGCAGUCAACCCUUUGUCUAGUCACGCAGCCUCACGCAAGCACAGGUGGGGCGGCAAAGGCAGG